CUCUGUGACUCCUACGGGGAGGCAGCAGUGGGGAAUAUUGCACAAUGGGGGAAACCCUGAUGCAGCCAUGCCGCGUGUGUGAAGAAGGCCUUCGGGUUGUAAAGCACUUUCAGUAGGGAGGAAGGUAGUGUAGUUAACACCUGCAUUAUUUGACGUUACCUACAGAAGAAGCACCGGCUAACUCCGUGCCAGCAGCCGCGGUAAUACGGAGGGUGCGAGCGUUAAUCGGAAUUACUGGGCGUAAAGCGCAUGCAGGCGGCCUGUUAAGUCAGAUGUGAAAGCCCGGGGCUUAACCUCGGAAUUGCAUUUGAAACUGGCAGGCUAGAGUCUUGUAGAGGGGGGUAGGAAUUUCAGGUGUAGCGGUGAAAUGCGUAGAGAUCUGAAGGAAUACCAGUGGCGAAGGCGGCCCCCUGGACAAAGACUGACGCUCAGAUGCGAAAGCGUGGGGAGCAAACAGGAUUAGAUACCCUGUAG
rnacentral:rRNA from 1 species